UCCCUUAAUUUCUUUACAUCGUCUGUUUCCCCCUGAGUUUCAUCAUUUGCAUUUUAUCAAUAUUGUAAAUCCAAUAUCCCCUACUUUUUGGAAUGGUAUAUAUAAGUUUAGUGUCGGCAUGAAGU